rnacentral:rRNA from 1 species
GUUGGUGGAGUGAUUUGUUUGGUUGAUUCCGUGAACGAACGAGAUCUCAGCCUCUAAAUAGGGGUAGGGUCGCUACGGGGAAGUCUUUGGCCUUCGGGUACGAAGCUCUCUAGACGCCUACUGCCUUCUUAGAGGAACAUCGUGCGUUUUUAGCACGAUGGAGCGAGCCAAUAGCAGGUCU